GACGAACCGAGCGAACGUUGCUCGGAAUAACUGGGCUUAAAGGGCGCGUAGGCGGGCCGCCAAGUUCGAGGUGAAAUCCUCCGGCUCAACCGGAGAACUGCCUCGAAUACUGGAGGCCUCGAGGCGGGUAGGGGCGUGCGGAACUGUAGGUGGAGCGGUGAAAUGCGUUGAUAUCUACAGGAACUCCGGUGGCGAAAGCGGCGUGCUGGACCUUUUCUGACGCUGAGGCGCGAAAGCUAGGGGAGCAAACGGG
rnacentral:rRNA from 1 species